GAUGAACGCUGGCGGCGUGCUUAACACAUGCAAGUCGAACGGAAAGGCUCCUGCUUGCAGGGGUACUCGAGUGGCGAACGGGUGAGUAACACGUGGGUGAUCUGCCCUGCACUUCGGGGUAAGCCUGGGAAACUGGGUCUAAUACCGGAUAGGACCACAUUUUGGAUGGUGUGGUGGAAAGUUUUUCGGUGUGGGAUGAGCUCGCGGCCUAUCAGCUUGUUGGUGGGGUAAUGGCCUACCAAGGCGUCGACGGGUAGCCGGCCUGAGAGGGUGUACGGCCACAUUGGGACUGAGAUACGGCCCAGACUCCUACGGGAGGCAGCAGUGGGGAAUAUUGCACAAUGGGCGCAAGCCUGAUGCAGCGACGCCGCGUGGGGGAUGACGGCCUUCGGGUUGUAAACUCCUUUCGCUAGGGACGAAGCGUUUUUGUGACGGUACCUGGAGAAGAAGCACCGGCUAACUACGUG
rnacentral:rRNA from 1 species